CAACUUAUUCUACUCUUGAUUGUAUUGUUUAUAAAGUUAAUAGACUUCUUUUUCCCUCUGGAAGCAACAUAUAUUUUUGAACAAAUACACUCAGAUGAUUGAUUCAAACAGAAUCCUAGCUACAAGUAUCUAAUAGUGAAAUUUUUUUUUUUAGUCCAGAUGAAAUUAUCUAGCUCUGAGACUAAUUAUUGUCAAAUAUUUUGAGCAGGGCCUGAAAGAAUUCAAAGAAACAACCAUCCAGGCAGCUUCCUCUACUGGCCACAUAGAUGCACCAGUUGAUGAGACAGUAUUUGACAUCGAGAAGGAGAUUGAUGAUUUAUUGCCUGUUGAAGUGAAAGAACAGCGUGUCAGCAACUUGCUUCAAGCCACCAUGGUUGGAGGAUGUGUAGCAGCCAUGCCUUUCCUCAAAAAGAUCCCAACUUCAGUCCUCUGGGGUUACUUUGCCUUUAUGGCCAUUGAAAGUUUGCCUGGCAACCAAUUCUGGGAAAGGAUAUUGCUGCUCUUCACUGCACCAAGCAGAAGAUACAAGUAUUAGUUUCAAUCCUUUAGUUUCACUUACCUGCCGCUUGCUUUCUUCUUCUUGGUUUCUAAAAGUAACUCCCUUCUCUUGCAGAGUCCUCGAGGAAUACCAUGCCACGUUUGUGGAAACUGUGCCUUUCAAGACAAUUGCAACAUUUACCAUUUUUCAAACUAUUUACUUGUUAAUAUGUUUUGGCCUCACUUGGGUUCCAAUUGCCGGGGUCAUGUUUCCAUUGAUGAUCAUGCUUUUGGUUCCAGUAAGACAAUAUGUCCUUCCUAAAUUUUUCAAAGGAGCACACCUUCAGGACCUGGAUGCAGCAGAGUAUGAAGAAGCUCCAGCUCUGCCAUACAAUAUUGCUACAGUAAGAUUUCUUUUCUGACCCAAAAAAAAAAAAUAAACCAAAGUUCACAUCCUAAGAUUGCUUCAUUCAUAUAUAUAAUUUCUUCGUUAUGUUUGUUUACAGGAGUCUGAGCUGGGGGCUGGGGCUACUCGUGCAGGGGAUGGAGAGAUACUAGAUGAAGUUAUUACCCGUAGCCGAGGAGAGUUCAGGCAUGUGAGCAGUCCUAAAAUUACAAGUACUACUGGAACCCCUGCAAAUGAUCCUAAAAGCCAUCAAAGCCCGCGUCUCUCGUACACGUAUAGUCCUCGUUUAAGUGAACUGAAAGGAGAGAAAAGUCCUAAGGCUAGUGGAAGAGGGCCUAUAAGUCCAAGACCUGCAGAACUAGGAUUAUCUAAGUUAGGAAAGAGUCCUUCAAAUUCAGCACAAAAGUAGUGCAGAAAGUUUGGCUAGUUUGAUUUCUGUUAGUUAAUAGUUAGUAGCUUUGGAUUGCUUCUGCUUGCCCCCUUCCUUUUAUUUUCGGUGUGUUGUUUUGGUUGGAAUUGCUGUAAAAUAUUUCUCCUUUCUGCUCUUAUCUUUUAGAGCAUAUCUGUAACUUACAAAUAUACUAAUGGAUAUUGUUCUUUUCAGAGCAAUUUGUUUAUAUUGCCUUAAGAGUUCAAUCUUCUUCAAUGCAAACCUUAACAUUAAAAACAUUAUAAUUUACAGCGCAACAGACCAAUAUCCUUGAUUCAGUUCAUUUACAAGCCAUAUUUGCCCCCCAUUUGCAAGCUCAUACCUACCUAUGUUACAGGCAAAGAUAUGAUCCGUUGAUCACUAAACACUCGAGAGUGCAAAAGAUCACUGGAUUUGAAGUUUGGACAAUCACUACUGCUUUAUCUAAUACUAUUAUCAAGAAACCACUCGGCCCAGCAGAAAUAUCCCAUGUCUUUCCCAGCCUUUCUGUCUGAUGCAUGGUAUAAGCAAAUUCCAAUUGCAGAGGCAUUUGUCAUCAAAUGUAUUGAUGGGAGAGGGUCCACACCAAUGAGUCAUUAGUUUAACGUAGUCCAAGAAUUGUGGGUUAUAAAGUUUUAAGUAUCAAUGAAAAUCAAAUGAAAAGAGAAAGAAAGCAAGGAAGAGGGAGAGGGUCCACCAAAACGUUCUUAAUUCUUAACCCUACAAAUACCUUCAGGAUCAGGCAAGGCAAUGGCCCCGUCACUAAGCUUAACAGGCAGUAGCAAGGGGCCUAAAGCUAGACCCACGAAACUGCUAGAACCUGACGAAUUAUUGGCCAUUGAGACUGUUCAAGAUUGUCCUUGUAGAAUGUGGAUGAUAUCAUUUUUGCUGUUGCUCCCAAAUCAUCCAACUGAAGGGUCAACGCUUUACUAGGGAAAAACACAAAAGAAAGAUAAGAUUGGGAACUCGAAUUCAGGACAAAAUAAGAAGCUUUUCUAAUAGCUGUAAAAGAAAAGCUGUGGUCAGAAUUUUUCCCAUCAAGCUCUCAAGUGGAUAGAAGAAGAGAAUAAGCCUCUGGGGCUGCAGGGUCCUACAUUCUCAAUUAAAAAGAAGAAUGUGAAUCAACGUGGUGGAGUGUUCCUCUCAUGGUAAAAGCCAAUAGGAGCUAAGAGGUGGGUUGUUCCUUUUCAUAGCAAAUCCAUGUGGGUUCAAUUCCUUCACUUCUGAAGGUUUAGGUCGCUUUCUUAAUGAUUUUAGUAUCUGUCUAUUUGUUCAUAAUUCAUUGGAAAUAUUCCAAAACAAAAUGGCUAAAGUUUCAAACCUUUCAUUUGAACAAGAAAUAAAGUUGGCUUUUCAUAAUCCAUACCAGGGUACUACAAAUCAGAUCAUGUACAGAGACGAUGUGACAAAGAAGUUGACCAUAAUCACCUGGGUUUGUACUCCAUACUCACCAUUUUCGUACACGAGUAUUGAGCUGCAAUCAAAGAAAAGAUUGGAAACAAGCAGAACUACGCUAUGUCAUGAAGAACCAAUUUGUGAAAUCAGAUGAACCAGUUGUCCAAUUCAUUUCUUUUGCCAAACCCACAAGAGUAAACGUCAAGAAAUCUAUUAUUACAAUUAUAUCAUCAACCAUCACAAUCUCCUUUUAUUGCCCAACCAAAAUGUUUUGAGUAUAAAUUUGGAGAGAUUGACUACUCCUCCCAAAUUCAGAAUCAUCAAGAAUAUUGACAUCUAGAAACAGCAAUCAUAGUGUCUCUCUAAGACGUGGUAAAGAAACACAGGUACAUCACCAUCAUCGGCUAUAUUGCGUAUAAAGUUUCCCAGUUAAACACAAAAUGAAAAAUGGUAUAAACACAAACACAUACAUAUAUCCCAAUACAUCAAAUUCUAAUAAUAAUGAUCAUACACCUUGAUCAUUGUGGCUUUGUACUUGAUUUUUACGAAGAACAACGUAAUAAGAGGGGAAAUUUUAUAGGAAAUUAUAUUAUGGCAUUAAUAUAUAAAAUUACCUCGAUAAAGAGAAUAGAGGACGCAUGAAAGUGGAAGGAGAAAGCUUGACGAUACUGUCUUUGACCCCUGCAAAAUCUUCCCAUGUGAAGGAGAGGAUACAGGUUGAUGAUUUCAUUCUCUUCCUGUCUCUUUCGAAAUAGUGCUUAGUGAUCCAAUCAAAUAUUUGAUGAUGAGCAUCUCGAAUAUUUCUAAUCAAAAUUUGGUCACGGGCUCUCCAAGGGUAUCCGAUGCUUUCUCUUCUUGAUUACUCGAUCCAAACUAGACUUAAGGACUAAAACCCUUUCUGAUUUGCCAAGAAGAUCUGUUACAUGAAUAAAUAAAUAAAUAAAAAGACUGGGAAGUUGGCGGAACAGGCUACCAGGAACAGUGCGAAACACCUGAUCUGACCGACCUUUUCUCUCCAGAACAACCUCCCCAGUCCCAUUGAAAUUGCAGAAAUUAUUUUGGUAAUUGGCUAAUUUUAGCUUAAUAGCAUGUCUUCAAAAUUAUCAAACUCAUCGAAAUUAAUUAAUUAAUUGAAAUAACACUAAAUCCAUAGUAUACUUUUCAUUUUAAUUUUUUAAAUAAAUUUACAAUUUUAUAUUAAGGGUAAACAAAUCUUAACAUAUUAAAAUAUUAUUUUUAAUAAUUUUUAAAUGCUAAAUAUUAUUUUUAUAAAUAUAGAAGAAAUUUCAAAAAUAGUAUAUUUUAUUGUUAAAAAUUAUAAAAAUAAUAUUUUUAUUAUUUAAACAAUUAAUAUUAUAAUAUUUUUAAAAUUUAUUUGGCCCUCUUAAUAUAAAAAUAUAGGCUUGUAUGUUUAAAAAAUUAAAAUUGAAUUUAUUUGAUUUUUUCAUAUAAAAAAGUAAGGCAAAUUUAAAUUAUAAUCACUUACGAACUCCAUUUCAAAAAAAAAAAAAAAAACGUUCGAACUAUUAACUGUUUUAAAUCAAAAUCGGAUCGAACCGUGCAAACUCUAUGAAUAUGCUUUCGGCCCGAAACCGCGCUGGAAUUAGUCCGUGGCCAUGCCGAAUCCC
rnacentral:lncRNA from 1 species